rnacentral:miRNA from 1 species
AGAUUGAAAUGUAGCCGAAGAUGACUCUCCGACAUGACAACACCAAUGAAUAUUGUGUCCUAAUAAGAAAUACAAACAUUUUUCAUAUAAACAAACCUGUAAUUAGCUCGCCGGCAAGUCAUCCUUGGCUUCACCAUCCAU